UUUUGCUAACGUUGCCCAGACGGGAGUGCAAUGGGUGAUCUCGGCUCACCGCAACCUCCAUCUCCUGGGUUCAAGUGGUUCUCCCACCUCAGCCUCCCGAGUAGCUGGGAUUACAGGUAUAUGCCACCAUGCCCAGCUAAUUUUGUAUUUUCAGUAGAGACAGGGUUUCUCCAUGUUGGUCAGGCUGCUCUCAAACUCCUGACCUCAGGUGAUCCGCCCGCCUCGGCCUCCCAAAGUGCUGGGAUUACAGGUGUGAGCCACCGUGCCCGGCCCAUUUAAUUUUCACAUCACCCAACAAGGGAGGCCUUACUGCUAAGUUGCCACGCCAGGUGGGAAAGAGGCCAAGACUGUGAGGUCAAUGGUUGCUGCAGUGGUCCCUGAUUUGUACCCCCUCCCUGGAUCGACAUCCUUGGGGAGUUAGUCCUCUCUGACAUUUAUUCUGCACGUGGCCAUGGGACUUGCUUGGGCCAAAGGGACACCAGCAAACGUGCAUGCAAAGUGCUUGCACAUUGUGCACAUUGGGACUUUCUCCUUUGGCUGCUGUUGGAAGCCCAAGAACUUUAUGCAAGGCAGCCCAGGCCCCCCUGGCCCAGGGUGGGAAGCCAAGAAAUGAGCUGGCCCACUGACAGCCCGUGAGACCAGGCCACCUGCUAACACCCAAACACAGGCGUGAGACCAUCCCAGGUCAUCCAGCCACUGACCAACCUGAAGCCACCGCAGACACAUGAGAAGGCCCAGCAGAGAUUGGCAGAGCUGGCCCAGAGCAGAACUGCCCAGCCGACCCACAGAAGUGAAAGCACAGGAAAAUGGUUACUAUUUGAAGCCAUUAAGUUUUGUUUUGUUUUUUAAGAGACAGGGUUUCGCUCUGUAGCCAAGGCUAAAAUGCAGUGGUGCCAUCAUGGCUUAAGUUUCGGGGUUUUUAAAUACAUCAAACCUAACCUAUACAGAUAAAUUAAUGAAAUUAAUGGAAGCAAGUGAGAGCAUUCAGGCAGUCUGACUCCAUAGUCUUCACCCUUAACCACUUUCCUGCUCCAGCUUUCUGAGCAUUAGGGCCCCCAUUUGUAAAAUGAACAUGAGAAAACAGUCUUUCAUUACAGGAGGAGAUCAAAAAAAAUGAAAAGCAUGAACACAGUUGGUCAGUUAUAAAACAUUACAUAGACACCAGCCAUUAUUCUUAUGGAUAAACUCUCAAUAGCCAUCAAUAGAAGGAGUCUAUUCAAGUAGUAUAGACAAAUGAAUAGACAAAUGAUUGAGGAGUCAUUUCAUCUUGAGUUUGGACUAUUAGAGAGGCCUAGAUUAUUCCCCUCCAGCAGGGCAACAAAAGUAAGUGAAGCCUCCUCUUCUCAACCUUACUUCCAGGCCCCCACUCUCCUGCUCACCUCUCCCUGAGACAUUUUUAUUGUUCAUCUCACUCAGCUGAACAACCUGGUACCCUCAGCUUUUAAGACAUCGACAAGGAAGGGAAUUAGCCUUUAAGAAGCUCAUGCUAGGUUCCAGGCAGUACAUAUGUGUAUAUGUGUGUGUGUGAGAGAGACAGAGAGAGAGAGAGAGACAGAGUGUGUGUUUCCGUUCAGCCUUAUUAUAGCCUUUUGAAGUAGGUAUUAUUACCACCAUUUUACAAAUGGGAAAACCAAGGCUCAGAGCCAUUAAGUAACUUGCAGCAGAACUGAGAUCCAAACUCAGGGAUUUCUAAUCCUAAGGCUUGCAAUCUUUCCACAAAUGCCUAAAAGUGAUACUUUAUGGAUUUGCCUAUUUAGAAAGAGAGCAGCGUUUGUCUGACAAUAUAUCUUGAGUCUCCUACUCUCACUCCCAUAGCCAGCAUCUGUCCCCUUCUCUGCAGCUCCCCACCUAGCCCAGUCCCUUCCCCUGAACAGCUGGCUCCUCUGAUUCCACUCCUGGCUUCCCCUCAUACUCCAUUACUGGAACAAACCAGUCCAUGUCACAUUCAUCUCAACCCUCCCUGCAUACUCGGCACAGGCACACAGUCCUCGCCGUGGCCUACAAGGUCUUAUGUGAUCUGGCCCCAGCUCCUCUUUGGCGUCAUCAGCACCCACACAUCUCCUUGCUCUUUCCCAGACGUGCCAUGCCUCCUUCCGCCUCUGAGACAUAAUACUCUUCUCUCUGCUGGGAACAGUUCUCACCCUUGGCUCCUCUGGUCUCUGCUCAGGUUUCCUUCUCUGAGCAGUCUUCCCUGAUUGGCCUUUCUAAAACAGCCCUCACCACCCUCCUGUCCUGCUUUGUUUUCUUCCUAGGACAUGCUACUGUCUACCUUAUGUAUCUGUCUGCCCACUAGAAUGUAAGCUCCAGGGACAGGGUCUUGUUAAUCAUUGUGUCUCCAUCCUAUAGUGUGCCAGCCCUCGCAGGUGCUCUACAAAUGCCUGGCGAGUAAAUGAAAUAACGAAUGAGUCAGAGGCCCAGAGAAGAAACCCCAUCCUCAUAAAAGCCCCAUGAAAACCACAAAUAACCUUGGAAUAUUAACAUUAUGAUGAAGGUGACCAAACAGAAGGCAUGACAUGCUGAAGACCAUCCAGGUCUUUGGGGUAGACUGCGGACCCUGCCCAGCAUUCCUCAAUUAGGGGCUAGAGCAUCAUGAAUGGGAUGGUUCAUCCCACAGGACUGUCCCACUUUAUGCAGAGUUCCAGCAUCCUUGGUCCCUGCCAAGUCAAUGCCAGCAGAGAGCCCCAGUCAUGUGACAGCCCCAAACACUUCUCACAUUUUGGGACACCCCCAAGGAGUAUGUUACUGUUCCCUCCCCGUCAUGGUGAACUCUCACCUCCAUCUAUGCCCAUGAUGAAGCGUCCCACGAUGAGCAUUUCAAAGGCUCCUGCCUGGAGCGAGCAGGCCAUCAGCAAUGCAGCAGAAAUUGCAAACCCAUUAUUGGCCAGCAAAGUGUGCUUCCUGGAAAGAAAGGAAAGAUUUGAUGAAGAUGUCUAACCAUGAGGCAUGUCACUGAACUGUCCAUCCCAGGAGCAGGAGCCAGGCCCUUCUGAAGGGUGAGUAGAGCAAGACUCAGGCACAGUGCAGGGAGCACUGGCCUUGCCACCUCUGGCUGUGUGACUGGGUUCAGCCCUGGGGUCUACUAGGUCACUUACAAAGGCACCAUCAGCCUUGACAUCUAUGAAUUCUCUGUGGUAGUAUUUUAUUGCUUUAAUUCUAAGACUAUCAUUUAACAUUUCUGAAGUCAGUGGUCAUCUUACAAUUCGUGAGUCAGGGUCCAGGCAGGAAAAUGGAAACCACUCUAGGUAUUUUAAUGGAGAGAAUUUAACAUAGGGAAUUGGUUAAGUGGAUAUUGAAGAACCGAGAUGUCAAAAAGGAAGACCUCUGAAGAAGGGGUGUUUCCCAUGUGGUGCUGACACCUCAGGGGCAUGGAGGAGGGCCCCGAAGACCUUUGAGAGUGGGCACUGUCCACUGGACUGUUUCCUCUGAGGAGCAAUAUGAUUCUGGUUCUGGAAAUGGACAAAAGUUGGAAGCUGGAAUCAACUGCCAAUGUCAUCACUGGGACUGGCAGGAAACUCAGACAAACAUGAAAAAGCUAGUCUUUUCUCUCUCCUCUAGUGCCCCUAUUGGCAAAGGACAAAUGGGGGUGCAGGCCCCAGCCCCAGCAUCAGAGAGAGAGAGCCCAGAAGGGUAAGUGUGGAGCUAGGAGACAACAGCUUGACAACCAGCAUAGCGUUCUACAACUUUUGUUGGCUCCUUCCCUCCCUCCCUCCCUUUCUUCCUUAUUUCCUUUCCUUUCCAGUGGCUCAUAAAAUAACAAUACUCCUCAGACCCAAUGGCAUCUUAGAUUUGAUGAACUACAGUACUAAGUGAAUGGCUGGACUAAUCCUCUCAAACAAGAUUAGGGAAAUUUCCAUGGCAAUAAUUAUUAUUAACAGCUCUGUGUCAGGACUGCCAUCACUUUUAUAAACACAUGCCUAAGACCUCAUGGUUCAAAUACCUGACUUGUUUGGAGGCCUGGGGACCUGGAUUCCUGCACCAGCUCUAUCCUUCAGGAGCUAGGAGACUUUGAACUUCAUUUCUCUGUGUUUUCUUUUCCUCACUUUUGCAAAAUGAUCCUAAAAGCCCACAUUUAUUGAACUCUUGCUAUAGGAUAGACCCUGCUUUAAGUACUUUGCAUUAGUAGCUCAUUUAAUCCUCAGAAUGACCCAAAGAGAUAGGUACUCUUAUAAUCUCUAUUUUAUAAACAAGUUAACUAGGUUGCUGGCAAGCUAGAAACUUGUUUUAUUUUUAAUUUUUAUUUUUGAGACAGAGUCUUGCUCUAUCACCCAGGCUGGAGUGGAUUGGCACAAUCUCUGCUCACUGCAGUUUCCACUUCCCAGGUUCAAGUGAUUCUCCUCCCUCAGCUUCCUGGGUAGCUGGGAUUACAGGCAUGCACCACCACACCCAGCUAAUUUUUGUAUUUUUAGUAGAGACGGGGUUUCACCAUGUUGGCCAGGAUGGUCUCAAACUUCUGACCUCAGGUGAUCUGCCUGCCUCAGCCUCCCAAAGUGCUGGGAUUACAGGCGUGAGCCACUGCGUCCGGCCUAGAAACUUGUUUUAGGUCAUAUAGUCAGUGAGUCAAGGAGUUGGGGAAACAUCUUAGCCCUUUACGGCUUAUUUUUUUUCCUAUAGACUCAAUGAGUUAACAGAUAUUAAAUUGUUUUGUAAAUUGUGGUUAAAAAAUUAUUUUGCCCAAUAGAGCCCCAGUGGGUCUCUGAUCUUAGAACUUGCGCUCUUCCCACCAGCUAACAUUGCCUCUUGUCAUAAAUUAUGGGACUCAGUUAUGGCAGAUGCUAUUAUACUCAUUAUAUAAAAAUAUAAGUUUUUUUCUCUAAACCAGCCUCUCGGGAGACUGGGGCAGGAGAACUGCUUGAACCCAGGAGGCAGAGAUUGCAGUGAGCCAAGAUCAUGCCACCGCACUCCAACCUGGGUGACAGAGCGAGACUCCGUCUUGAAAAAAAAAGAAAAGAAAAAGAAAGAAAGAAACAUCAGUGAGGCCAGCCUGGCUGGAGGCAGUAGGGAGCCAGGGAGCAAGCAGUAGAAAGUGAAAGUUGAGAAGAGAAAAGAAGAACUCAGAGAGUCUUCUAUGCCACCAUAAGAACUAGCGUUUCCCCCCUGGGGGAGAUAGCAGCCACUGGGAGAUUCCAAGGAGAGGAAUGACACCGGCUAAUACUUGAACAAGAUCACUACAUCUUGUCUUCUCUGUUGCUCCUGGACUGCAGGGGACAAGUGUGAAAGCAGGGAGACCAGCUGGGGAGCUACCACAACAGACGGAAGAACCAGAUCCAAUGAUAUGUGUAAGAAGAAUAAUUUCAGUGCAAUUGAAAGAACAGAUGCACAAUUGACUCUGUCAAGUGAUGGAAUGACCCGUCUCAAAUAAAGCCAAUGAGAGUUGCUCUUCAAGCUGAAACUUCAGCCCAAAUCAACUUUUACUCUCAUAAUGAUGAAAAGGAAACUGGCAGCUGCUUGGGGCAUAACAACCAACACAUCCUUUGAUCUGAUCUUUUUCUGCAUCCUCACUUCUUUAUGACUCCUCCAUUACUUAGAGAUUGAAGGUAUUUUCAAAGUUGUUUUCUCUUUUGCUUUCCUUUUCCUUUUUUUUUUUUUUUUUUGUUGCCAUGCCAGUGAGGGUAGUAAAGCUACUUUCAUUGCCCUCAUUUUAUAGGUAAGAAUAAUGCUGGCUGAGAAGUGAGGUGUCAAAGUCCCUUGUAACACACCUGAUACACAGCAGAGUCAGGACUUGCUGAGCCACGGCAUUCUGACCCGAUUCUAGUGUUCCUUUUCCUAUUCCAUCUGCAUGGGUUCAGAGCCUCCUUGAGGAGCAGCCUUGGGGUAUAAAUGCCACGGUCAGGUAUAAAGCAAGGAGACAUCACAGGCCAGAUCCUGGGGCAUGGGGAGUGACUCCAUCCCACUAGGACAAGCAAGAGGACCAUGGGCAGGGUCUGGCUUGGGCAGGAGGCUUAGUGACCAUGCCUCAGGGACCCUGGCCAGUGAUGCCAAUCUGAGUGCCAGCCUGUUGUCAAACAGUCAUGGUUUUACAGUACAUUCCCAGCAUUGGGAAUUGGCCCCUAACUAAGAUCUGCUUGGCAUAGUGGAAAGAUCAUGAUUCCAGCCUAAGCUCAGCCACAGUGCAAGCUAGCUAAGCUUGUGCAGAUGCCCUCACCUCUCUAACCUCCCAUUCCCCAUCUACAGACCCCACAGCAGAUAGAAAAUUAAACAAGAGAAUGUGUGAGUGGCUGGAACCUUGAAGGACCUCAGACAAUGGCAUCUCUCACUACAUCAUGCAGUAGUUGUAUUUCCAGGCCCUGAAUUCCCAUUAAUUACUGCUCUGAAAGUGGGCUUGGGGACAAGGAAAAUGUCAGCACCUCCCCUACCUCACAGGUAUCACAGACCCUCAUAAGCACCACUUGGAUGUUUUCAGGGUGGCUUCCUGUCCCAUCUUUUAGAAAUCUUGCUUUGAAACAUCGUCAACUCUAGUUUUCUCCUUGUUGGGCUGUGAGGAAGAAUGUAAAGGAUUCGGUCAUUUCAGAUUGUGAAAUGGGCUCCUUCUUAAUCGGGUUUCUGUAAUCCCAUGGUCUGAGGAGAUUUUCUGGAGUCUGAUAAAUCUCCUCUUCAACUCACGUCAAUGCAAUAAGGAGGUUAGUCGAGUACUUACUAGGUAGUGAUGUCAAGGUGAUGAUGAGGGAAAUGCCAAAUAAUGUGGUCAAUGACAAGAAUUUUUAUUUAUUCAGCUACAAC
rnacentral:lncRNA from 10 species